CUUUUCUUUUCCUUACCAAGGAAUGUUAGUGAGCUGAAACUAGGCUUGGGACUGUCUUGUUGUAGAUGAAAGGGAAAAGAGCAGGCAAUGUCAGCUUCAUAUUCGUUGCAUGUGCUUUUUGCUCUUCUACUGAGAAGUUUUCUCUAGUUCUUUUUGGACUUGCGAUUCCACAAUGCUCUCCAUGAUCCGUGAAUUGACAAAACAAGAAGAAAAGUUUGCCUUCGCUGGCAAGAACUGUUGUCUUCAGCACAUGAAGAACUCCGUGAGCGUUGCAAUAUCUCAGGAUCGCUUUGUUGGAAGGAAAUGGUUGAGAUACGAAUAGGAAGGAACAUCAAGAAGAAGAAAAUACGUUUUCAUAAUUUGGCAGGACGGUGAAAGAGAAUAGUGAAGGAAAAUUUUCUCUUGGUUAGAAGGAAAAUUAGAACUAGGACAAGACAAUGUCUUGGAAAUAAAUAAUGACAGUCAAUGCUCGAGGAUGUGAAUUUGAAUCUGAUUGCCUUAUCUUUAUUGUGACAGGUGAAAAUACUCUAAACUUUAGUAUGAUGGAUGCUUCCCGAUUGCCUUCUUCAGUUUCCGCUCCUCAGGAAGCUUCACAUUAUGAUGAGCUCCCCAUGAAACAGAGUUUCAACUUUUCAGAUAGCUUGAAGGACUUGAAGCAUCUUAGAAAGCAGUUAUAUCGGCAGCUGAUUAUUUUGAAUUGUCUUACAAUAGACACGAUCAGAAACAAAUAGUGGUGAACACAUUGAAGGGUUAUGUGACGAGAGCUUUCAUAAACACUGUGGAUCACUUGGGC